rnacentral:tRNA from 1 species
GCGGUCGUAGCUCAGCUGGAUAGAGCACGGGAUUCCUAAUCUCGGGGUCAUGGGUUCAAAUCCCUUCGAUCGCACCA